UGGUGAGUGCCAUCUGAUUUCUCCUUGUUAUUGCUUGAUUUGCUGUAACUCCACAAACAUGCUCCGGUUAUAAAGUAAAAGAACAUAUUGCUAUGUUUAGUAUUUAAAGCAGAAGUCUAUUUACAAAAGACUAAUUCAGGUUUUGGGUGUGCUUGUUUCAUUAUAAACUGGAGCCAAUUCGUUUGGCUAGCUCUUUCCCACAUUCCAGACCAUAGACACAGGCUCUGGGCCUCAUAUAACACAGAAAUUGUUAGAAAUAGAACAUGCAAGGCCUAUAAAAUUUGUGAAUCACUGCCAUCCUUUUGUGUGUUAUUGCAUGGGUUACUGACUGCCUUUUCUGGGCUGGACUGAAUAGUCCCAGUGGAUGUUUCCAUGAGACUUUAAUUUCCUGCUCUUCCUCCAUAAGCUGAGUUUUUAAGCUAAGAAAGCCAAGAUGAAAUGGACACUAAUUGACAACCAGUUCAAAUAGAAGAGGCAUCAGCCAUGAGACUGACAGUGUGAAAGGCCAUCUUGCCUGACACUUUGGAUUGCUAAAAGAGCUGUGAUGUUUAAGGUUGGAUCCCUGCCUUCUGAUGCGGUGUAAUUUCUGUUUCACUUGUCCUUUAUGGAACAGUAAGAGGCGAUGGACAAGGAAUUUAUCAGCAGCUUCACUGAACUGAAUCACGAUCAACUGUGAACACCAAGGUUUGAUUUAUUUGUUCAUUGUAAUAAAGCCAUUGUAUUUAUUACCAUGGGCAUCUA